GAGUUUGAUCGUGGCUCAGGAUGAACGCUGGCGGCGUGCCUAAUACAUGCAAGUAGAACGCUGAAGCUUGGUGCUUGCACCGAGCGGAUGAGUUGCGAACGGGUGAGUAACGCGUAGGUAACCUGCCUGGUAGCGGGGAUAACUAUUGGAAACGAUAGCUAAUACCGCAUAACAGUAGAUAUUGCAUGAUAUCUGCUUGAAAGGUGCAAUUGCAUCACUACCAGAUGGACCUGCGUUGUAUUAGCUAGUUGGUGAGGUAACGGCUCACCAAGGCGACGAUACAUAGCCGACCUGAGAGGGUGAUCGGCCACACUGGGACUGAGACACGGCCCAGACUCCUACGGGAGGCAGCAGUAGGGAAUCUUCGGCAAUGGGGGAACCCUGACCGAGCAACGCCGCGUGAGUGAAGAAGGUUUUCGGAUCGUAAAGCUCUGUUGUAAGAGAAGAACGAGUGUGAGAGUGGAAAGUUCACACUGUGACGGUAUCUUACCAG
rnacentral:rRNA from 1 species